rnacentral:tRNA from 1 species
CGCGGGAUGGAGCAGUUGGAAGCUCGUCGGGCUCAUAACCCGGAGGUUGUAGGUUCGAAUCCUACUCCCGCAA